UUUGUACUCCCUCUGUCCCAUAUUAAGUGCCGGAAUAUUACAUGUAUCUAGACACUUUUUAGGUAUAGACACAUUCAUAUUUAGACAAAUUUGAAUCACUUAAUAUAAGACGGAGGGAGUAUAAG
rnacentral:pre_miRNA from 1 species